rnacentral:rRNA from 1 species
AUUGAACGCUGGCGGCAUGCCUUACACAUGCAAGUCGAACGGUAACAGGUCUUCGGAUGCUGACGAGUGGCGAACGGGUGAGUAAUACAUCGGAACGUGCCUAGUAGUGGGGGAUAACUACUCGAAAGAGUGGCUAAUACCGCAUGAGAUCUACGGAUGAAAGCAGGGGAUCGCAAGACCUUGUGCUACUAGAGCGGCCGAUGGCAGAGUAGGUAGUUGGUGGGAUAAAAGCUUACCAAGCCGACGAUCUGUAGCUGGUCUGAGAGGACGAUCAGCCACACUGGGACUGAUACACGGCCCAGACUCUGAGGGGAGGCAGCAGUGGGGAAAUUUGGACAAUGAGCGAAAGCCUGAUCCAGCAAUGCCGCGUGCAGGAUGAAGGCCUUCGGGUUGUAAACUGCUUUUGUACGGAACGAAAAGCCCCGGGUUAAUACCCUGGGGUCAUGACGGUACCGUAAGAAUAAGCACCGGCUAACUACGUGCCAGCAGCCGCGGUAA